CUGUAAAGGGGAAACUCGUGGGUACCCAUAGAACCCAUUUUCAUUCACAUAUCUUGAGGUCAGAGGUCAAGGAACCCCUUUGAAAAUGGUCAUGACAGAUUUUCCUCGCCAAAAUUUAUCGUAAGUUAGGAGCAUUAUUUGACCUCUUUUGCGUAUGACAUGGUUGGUAAAAAUGGAUUCAUUAGGUUUCAUAUGAAAAAAAAAAAAGCUUCACUCUAGCUUUAAAGCUGAGCCCGCUCCAACCUAAAAUAUUAUGGUGCGUUCAAUAUCUGCUCAGUAAAAAUGAGUAUUGGGCAGGUUUCAUCACACUUCUGUUGUGCUAGCUUGUUUGGACCUGUUUACCAACGGAUAGCUUAAGAGACUUUAAAAUGACUGAGAGAUGUUUAUUUAUUUUCUUGUAGUUUUCACAGUGUUCCCUGAAGAAAAGAGAGAGAUGACAUAAAACUUCAAAAGACAUCUGUAUGAUGUGUGGCUAUUAUUUCAUUGGGCCAGUGUAAUUACAGACAUUAUAGCCCAUUCAAGGAGCUCAUUUGUCUUCUUUGUUUGUUCUCAGAGAAAAGACACAAGGUGUGGGGGGAGGAACAGCAGACUGGCUUGAGAUGAAGGCAUGAAGAUGAGUGCAGAUUUUCCAGAGAAAACUGAGGCUGACCUCAGACCUUCUUUCAAACAGAUGGCGCCUUCCAAACCGGAAACUAACCAACCAUGCCACACCCACUUAGUGCUAUUCUCUUUGUGCAUUCGUCUUCUUCAAUUUGGAUGUUAGACCUCAAAAUUAAAUAAAAAAUAAAGCUCACAUAAUCGACAACCUCCAGUCUUCUAUGACUUUGAGCUAAUUUAUCUGACAAUUAGUAGCCUAUUUGAGUUCUUCUCUUAACAUUUGUUUUAUCUGCUGUUUCUUCUGAAAAAACAUUUUGUAAACUUGUUAAGAAAAGUGCUAUAUUAAUAAAGUUAAUUAUUAUUAUUGCUGCAACCUGAGCUCCCCGUUGACAUCAGGACAGCAGAACAACAACUUCCGUCACAGACUGAGAUCCCAUCUGUUCUGUCUGCACCUUGGCCCAUGAAUUCAUGUAUAAUAAUAAAAAAGAAAUCU